rnacentral:rRNA from 1 species
UACGAAGGGGGCGAGCGUUGUUCGGAAUUACUGGGCGUAAAGGGCGCGUAGGCGGCCCCUUUUGUCGCGUGUGAAAGCCCCGGGCUCAACCUGGGAGGUGCGCGCGAAACGGGGGGGCUUGAGUUCGGGAGAGGAGAGUGGAAUUCCCAGUGUAGAGGUGAAAUUCGUAGAUAUUGGGAAGAACACCGGUGGCGAAGGCGGCUCUCUGGACCGAGACUGACGCUGAGGCGCGAAAGCCAGGGGAGCAAACGGG